CCAUCUGUAACAGGGGCCCAAUACCCU
rnacentral:piRNA from 1 species